rnacentral:lncRNA from 1 species
GAGGAUCCCUCUUUUAUCUCAUCAUUAUGAUAAAAAUUAUCUUUUUUAUUAUUUUCUUAGGAAUCCCAUCUCUGACCUGUAUGACUUUAACACCUAUAUGUCCUUGGAACACAGGAGGAAAAGCCCUAAUGCACCAUGAACGUUGAAUUGAUUUUGCACUGAUGUGUACUUCCAGUAUGAUGAUUGGUAUUUGUAAAAUAUAGAGUCUGUCCCCAAAUUGCUUACCUCAGUCACCUUCACAGAUCCUGGAAGUCAAAACCAGGGAAAAUGCUGAGAAGCCUAGGAAAAAGGGAAACAAAAGAAAGCAAAACAUAACAAUGACAAGAAUUACUCUGACAUCCACAGGAGGUGAGCAUUUUGCUCUCCUACACUCGGGAAAAAUGUUAUCUCAAUACAAAUAACAUAAUGCAGAGAAAGAACAUAUAUACAACAGAGAAAAUAAUGCCUCUUUCUACUGAUCCUUCAAUUACCUGGAGUGAGUCUCCAUUCUUGGGGAGUUAUCAUCAGGAAGCAUGGGAACAGUUCUAGCAAGCCAUUAUGCUGUCUUUUGUAGGAUUCUUCAAACUUUGAGUAACUUGGGAAUCUUUUGGCUUCCAGUUUCAAGAGAGAAGGUAGAAGAAUGUAACCACUUCAGGAUACUGAAGAAAAAGACUGAGAAGGAGAACAGAGGGGCCUCCAGUUCCAAUUACUUGCUUCCUGUCCUAGCAGUAAAGAUCUCCUUAGAAAAGGAUGAUUGGAGAAGAGCCCAGAGAUGCCUAUUUUUCCUUCCUUCAAAACAUACAACAACAGUUCUUACUAUAGGUUUGCCCUUGUUUUAAUUAUACAUGCAUUCACAUUUUCUCCUAUUAGCUUGUAAGCUUCUUAAAUGUAGGAAUAAUUUCAUUAUUUUGUAUCCAGCACAGUACUCAACAUCUAGUACAUACUGACAAAUUGAUGAUUAAGUGUCUGACUGAUCCUCUUCUUGGAUAGUUUGUAUUGCUUCAGAGAUUUUUAUUCCAUGUAGCUUGAACAUUAUGAAAAUUCAGUAUAGUGACAUCUAUUAAAAUAGAGUUUUAAAAUUUUUGUACAGAAAGUCUCCCACACAUUUCCUCCUGAGCUUUGUGACCACCACAUUAUCCUCUUUCUAUCCCUUCUUAUGCCUUCCAUACUAACUAGCAUUGUAAUAGAGAUUCUGAAGAUCUGUGUUGCAUUUUUCAGAUGGCCAUUUUUAUAUUAUCAUAUUCUCUGAAUAGACAAGGCCAUAGGAUGUCAAAUCAAGAGCAAAGAGAAGCAAACAAUGAAUCUAAUCUUGAGAUUGACCCCAUCUCAUUAAGUGACCUUGAGCAAGUCGUUCUCCCUGGGCCUCAUUGUUUUCCCUUUGCAUAAUCAGAAUAUUCUACUAAAUAAUUUCUGAAAUCCUGUUUAAUUCAAAUGAUAGCAUCAUUAUUUCCCCUAAAAUGGUAACACAAUGAAGCUGGGUAACAUGUGAAUAUGGGCAGCUAAUUAAACUAUUCAGUCUCUAGACAAAUAAUUUUUAAAG